rnacentral:lncRNA from 1 species
UAUUCUUCUAAUCAUGCAUCAUAUGUGGAUUGCAACUUGUCGUGCAUGUGCCGUGGUGAAAAUCUGUGUUGAUGCUUGUUUCCGGUUUGUUUCGUCUCGAUAGAGUUCCGCAAGCGUGUCGGAAUGUAAGGACCCGUGCGACUACGUCGGUUCGUCUGCUUCACGGAGUCAUUUUUCUUCCAAGCGGGAUCUCAGGCAAGAUGACCAUUUCCCCAGAUACCAUUACUAUCAUUGCCAUGCUAGUUUUACUGUUUCUAUCGUUAUGUCUCGUUGCCUACCACCUGUUAAAUAUCAACCUCCGGACAUUGCCAUGAAAACCUUCAACCUGUUCACAACCUAGCAAACCACUGAUUGGCUAUGUUACUGCUUGCUUAACCAUGUGUUAGCGUUGCUAGUUGCAGGUGCAGUUGCUUCCACGUGACAACACGGGUUGCUUGUUAUAUCACCAUAUUAAUGUUAUUUAAUUUAAUGCACCUAUAUACUUGGUAAAAGGUGGAAGGCUCAGCCUUUCUAGCCUGGUGUUUUGUUCCACCUUUGCCCCCUUAGUUUCGGCUACCGGUGUUAUGUUCCAUAAUUGAGCGCUCCUAACACGAUCGGGGUUGUUAUGGGGACCCCCUUGAUAAUUCGUUUUAGAUUAAAGCUGGUCUCGCAAGGCCAACUUUGGUACUACAUUUGCCUAAUAACCUAAUAGAAUUGCAUAGGGACUUUCCGUACCCCGAGGAUAAUUAAUCAACCCCCUGGCCAGUGCUCCACAUGAGUGUUGGUCCCACCUGAGCGAUGUCCGACGCCCCUGGUCACCCAGGGUUUAGCGAUCCCGAUGUCUAGCUCAUCCCUCGUGUCCUCAGAAUGAGAUACACGGUUCCUAUCGGGAUCGUCGACUCGUCGGGCGGCCUUGCUGGAUUAGUUUUGCCUUUUACGAGAUAUCUUGUGUAUCGGGAUUCCGGUGAUACUUUAGGUAAUCUCAGAGUUGAGGUUUUCCACUAAGGAGUCCGACGAGAUCGCGAGCUUCGUGAUCGAGGUUUUCUAUGCGGCUUGUGGUAAUUUGUGGACUAGUUGGAGCACCCCUGCAGGGUUAAAUCUUUCGAAAAGUCGUGCCCGCGGUUAUGUGGCAACGUGGAAACUUUGUUUAACACUGGUUCUAGAUAACUUGAAGUUAACUUAAUUAAAAUAUGCCAUCUGAGUGCGUAACCAUGACUGUCUCUUUCGUGAUCUCCUUCUCUGAUCGAGGAGACGGUGGGGUUAUGUUUGACGUAAGUAGGUGUUCUGGAUCAUUCGUUUGAUCAUCAAUAGUUCACGUACGCUGUGCGUAGAUCAUCUCCCUCUUUAUUCUUGUACUCGUAAGUUAGACACUAAAUAAAUGCUUAGUCGCGUGCUGCAGCCUCACCACUUAACGAUACCUCACCCAUUAAGCUUUGCUAGUCUUGAUACCUUCGGAAAUGAGAUUGUUGAGUUCCCUGUGGCUCACAGAUUACUACAACACCAGUUGCAGGUACAGGUAAAGGUUGCUUGACGCGAGCGCGUUGAUUGUUCAUUUGGAGUUGCUUCUUCUUCUUCUUCAUCAUCGAUCUAGGAUGGGUUCCAGGCCGGCAGCCUGGAUAGCAAGGAUGGACGUCGUUCUCUUUUCUCGUUUGUUUUCGUCCGUAGUCGGACCAUGCUCUUCUUCAUGAUGUUUAUGUAUUGUACUGAUUUGACUCUGAUGUAGCUUGUGGCGAGUGUAAGCAAAUUCUUUAUAUCUCACCUUUUCAGUACAUGUACUUGUAACGAUAUCCAUUCUUGUGAAACGACGAGAUACGCUUCUAUCCCUGACGAGGCCCUCAUGCCAAAUUGAGGAUAGGAUCACAUCUUGGGCGUUACAUAUUGCUAGCUGCUGCGGAUGCUAACUGCUCCUGAUGCUACAUGCUGCCUAUUGGAGAGAGAAGAGGGUUAUAAACUUAUAAUUAUAUAUCCAUUUUACAUUCUAGCAUUAUUUUUAUGGAAAAUUGCUCUUUGUUGCCUGUAUUCGUACAAUUUUGUAGGAAAUGCAUAAUUGCGCCUAAUCACGACUAAGCUAGAAAAGCGCAAGUAGGUGGUCAAACACAUAAUUAAUGGCUAACGCCUUUUGAACUUUGUGUACCAUGCAUCAUGUUUUUUUAAAUAAUGACGUGCAUGUGACUGAAUAUCAAUUGAUAACAAGUAUAGGUUGGAAUGACUUCAUUGUAGAAAUAACUUGAGGUGCCUCAUUUGCUCUAUUUUCUGUAGAAACAACUUGAUAAUGCAGCAAGUGGCGUUUCCUCAAGCAAGCCAAAAUUUGGGAACGCCCUAGCUUCAUAAUACCCUUUCUCAACAUGUGGCCCUCAAUACCGUUUAUCAAGCCAAAACUUGAUAAUGCUUAGUUAUCAAUUUUGUUAAGUCAUAUCUAAAACAUAUGUACACUAAUUCUAUUUUUGUGUGGCCCUCCAUAGUUCUCACAGAUUGUAGCACAAGAAGGUGACGAGGAACCUCUAGUUUGGAUGACUUUUUGUUGAACCAGUAGGUAUUAUGCUUGUGUACUUUUCCUGUGACAUGACACUUCUAAUUUAGAUGGUUAAUGUAAUGGUAUGUACAACAUGCAUGAAAACAAAUUGUUUCCUUCACGACUUCACUAAUAUGUCAUUAUAAACAUUGGAUGCAUCAGACUGUCAUAAUACCUACUCCAUCCAUUUCUAAAUACAAGUCUUCUUAGAGAUUUCACUAUGACCUACAUACAGAUGUAUAUAUACAUACUUUAGAGUGUAGUUUCAUUCAUUUUGCUUUGUAUGUAGUCAGUACUGGAAUCUCUAAAAGGACUUACAUUUCCGAUUGGAGGGAUUAGUUUCUAUCAGAGUUAAUAAUAAUAAAGGGCACAACAUGGUGAUAGUAAAUUGGGGUUAAGGAAGAACAUUGAUUAUUUGGUUUCUAUGUUUAUAUAUGUGUAGCAGCACCGUGAUUAUCAUGCAAAUAGUAUCUAAUCCCGAACCUUAAUCAUGGCAGCUAGCAGAUAAUGUAUGGUUUCAUUUGCAAGCACAUUCAUGUGAAUAUUAUUCCAGCAGGAAUGCUAACCCAUCUUGUGCUCUACUCCUUGCUUGAUUGAACGCUUGUGAUGCUUCUUGCUACACAUGAAUGAUUAGUGCUUUCAUGGACGAAGCCAUUAGGAAUAAUAACAUAUAUGUAUUGCUAAAACAAAGCAUACCUUCCAAGCAAUUUGAACACGGAAACCCAAACGAUUAAGCAUGGCAACACGUGAGAUGAGGAAUAGUAGGUCUGUAUAUGGGUAAAUCUGAUGCUAACUAAUUGUUAAUUUUGUUAAUAGGGUAAAUACAUUUUCCUGUUUGAGUUUAGGUAUCACCUGAUGCUAACU